UUUCCAGAUUUAGAGACAUCUCAAAUAUUUCAAAAGAAGAAGAUUCAUGCACAGACACACAUACAAACAUUCAUGCCUGUACGUAAUAUCGCUCAUAAACUCCUCCAGACAAAAACCCAUUUGGCAAGCAAAUAAAGGAACACACUUGCUGGUUGCAUUAAUUUGGUAGAAAUUUACAGUGAAAGGUCAGGAAUUCAUGAAUUUGUCAAGAACGUGUAUAUAAUGCAAUUCCAGACAAACCAGAAAGUUUAACCGAUGGUAAUGUAAGUUUAACAAAUGGUCCUAUCUUUCUUGCAUCCAUGUGAAUCUAUUACCAAAGUUAUCAAAGAAUCUUUCUAAACAUAGUAAAAAGUAUCAAAACUUAUCAAAUCCGUUGAAGUCUGAAAGAUAAAAUUCUUGAAGACAUUCUCAAAGUGAGAAUCUACGAACUUAUUUGAAAGCUUAAUUACAUCUCAUGAACUAAAAACUGGAAAAAAAAAAUUCUGCAGACAAGAAAAUAUGUGUGCGGCGCCCAUGCCCAGCAUAUAGGUGUGGCAAAAAGAAGAAAAAUCCACAAUUAUGA
rnacentral:misc_RNA from 1 species